rnacentral:rRNA from 1 species
UGGGGAAUAUUGCACAAUGGGGGAAACCCUGAUGCAGCGACGCCGCGUGAACGAAGAAGGUAUUCGUAUCGUAAAGUUCUGUCCUAUGGGAAGAUAAUGACAGUACCAUAGAAGAAAGCUCCGGCUAAAUACGUGCCAGCAGCCGCGGUAAUACGUAUGGAGCGAGCGUUGUCCGGAAUUAUUGGGCGUAAAGGGUACGCAGGCGGUUUAAUAAGUCGAAUGUUAAAGAUCGGGGCUCAACCCCGCAAAGCAUUGGAAACUGAUAAACUUGAGUAGUGGAGAGGAAAGUGGAAUUCCUAGUGUAGUUGUGAAAUACGUAGAUAUUAGGAGGAAUACCAGUAGCGAAGGCGACUUUCUGGACACAAACUGACGCUGAGGUACGAAAGCGUGGGGAGCAAACAGG